GGGGAGCAGAGUUUCAGUGCAGAGGAGUUUUCAGACAUCUCAGGUCUUCUCCAACCGCUGCCCGUUCCUGAUGGGCCCCAUCGAGUGCCUGAAGGACUUUGUCACCCCAGACACGGACAUAAAGGCAGGACUGGGCUGGCUUCAAGGCAAACUGUACCUUAAGCGCAAGUCAAAGUGUUGGUGAGACAGGCCGGGAUAGAAACCAGCCAGUGCAGGCCAUGAGCACCACAGCGGCGUGGACUCCGAAGGGUCUCGCCUGGAGAAAUGGCUCUCUCUGAGGCUCUUGCUAUGGGAACGAGCAGCCUGGAAAAGAGUUGAAGCUUUUAAACUUUGUCAAUAUUUUUAAACUUGUAGAUUUCCCCAGUGGCUGUUUUAGACAUGUUCUUACUGUCCAGAUUGAGAAAUAAAAUCUCCCUUUGUGUAAACAGUGUGGUGUUCUCUUCUCUGCUUCCGGAAGAGACCAUGUCGAUGGCCUGACAAGUGCCCCAGUGCGCUUCUGAAAAGUGCAUUUCCUAUCUACUCUUCCUUCCCAACAGAGAUGGCUUGGAUGGAAUGAACCCUUGAUUGCCUUUGAGGAGUGAUUUAAUAAGACUGGGACUCUUCAGCUUGGAAAAGAGACAACGCAG